CCUACGGGUGGCAGCAGUGAGGAAUAUUGGUCAAUGGGCGCGAGCCUGAACCAGCCAAGUAGCGUGAAGGAUGACUGCCCUACGGGUUGUAAACUUCUUUUAUAAAGAAAUAAAGUGAGGCACGUGAGCCUUUUUGUAUGGACUUUAUAAAUAAGGAUCGACUCACUCAGUGCCAGCAGCCGCGGUAAUACGGAGGAUCCGAGCGUUAGCCGGAUUUAUUGGGUUUAAAGGGAGCGUAGAUGGGUUGUUAAGUCAGUUGUGAAAGUUUGCGGCUGAACCGUAAAAUUGCAAUUGAUACUGGUAGCCUUGAGUACAGUUGAGGUAGGCGGAAUUCGUGGUGUAGCGGUGAAAUGCUUAGAUAUUACGAAGAACUCCGAUUGCGAAGGCAGCCUACUAAACUGCCACUGACAUUGAUGCUCGAAAGUGUGGGUAUCAAACAGGAUUAGAUACCCCAGUAGUC
rnacentral:rRNA from 1 species